rnacentral:lncRNA from 1 species
UUUUUUUUUUUUCAACCUGGCCCACGUGACGUACAAACCCGCCACAAAUACAAAGUUCCUCUGUCCACUCGGACAGAGUCUCAUUUGUAUUUGCACGGCGAACCAACGAUACAACAGGAUCUCAACUACAAUCUACAAUUACCAAUCAACAACCAAUUUAUGAUAUGCAUUUUCCUACAGCUAACAAUCCUUAGAGACGAUGGAUACCGCAAGCACUCCUUAGGCGCUGGAUGAUGCAAUGCACAGUACAACAAUCAUCCUAUUUAAAGUGCUCUCCACACGGAAGCUUUUAUUUUUGAACUCUAAUUCAUUCAUCAUGAAAAAUCAUUCAAAAACCUUUUUAAAACUGUUUCCCACACGGAAACUCUAUUUUGAAAAUCAACUAUCUCGAGGGGUAGAAAACCACGAUAUGUAAAUACAAGAAAAUCCGAUAUCCAUAAAAUCAACAUCCAAAUCCACAAACCUCAGUUCACAUGCAUAAAUAACGAAAGCAUUCACAGAUCUACCAAAACCAGAUCACCAACAUUCAAACAAUCAUAAAGAUCAGCUAACUGAACCAUUAUUUAAAUGACUACUAUAGGUGGGAAAGAAAUACAACCAGGGUGGCGAUCGCUAUACCAGACUAGCUAGAUCGUCCUCUCGUCGAGCCCAAAAUCCAACUCCUCGUCUAUGACACCUGGGGGGAAAUGGGGGGUGAGAAACCGCAACCAUGGUUUUCUCAGUGGGUACGACAGAGCCACGAAGGCAAGCCGUAAUCACCGGAAACCAAAGGAGAUAGAUAAACAAAUAUAGAUGCUAAUAUAUGAAAACGAACUACAGUAGC